GAUGAACGCUAGCUACAGGCUUAACACAUGCAAGUCGAGGGGAAACGAUAGAGAAAGCUUGCUUUUUCUAGGCGUCGACCGGCGCACGGGUGAGUAACGCGUAUCCAACCUGCCCAUCACUUGGGGAUAACCUUGCGAAAGUAAGACUAAUACCCAAUGACGUCCAUAGAAGACAUCUGAAAUGGAUUAAAGAUUUAUCGGUGAUGGAUGGGGAUGCGUCUGAUUAGCUUGUUGGCGGGGUAACGGCCCACCAAGGCGACGAUCAGUAGGGGUUCUAGGAGGAAGGUCCCCCACAUUGGAACUGCGAGCCGGUCCAAACUCCUACGGGAGGCAGCAGUGAGGAAUAUUGGUCAAUGGGCGAGAGCCUGAACCAGCCAAGUAGCGGGCAGGAUGACGGCCCUAUGGGUUGUAAACUGCUUUUAUAAGGGAAUAAAGUGAGCCUCGUGAGGCUUUUUGCAUGUACCUUAUGAAUAAGGACCGGCUAAUUCCGUGCCAGCCGCCGCCGUAA
rnacentral:rRNA from 1 species